rnacentral:rRNA from 1 species
CCGGAAUUAUUGGGCGUAAGCGCGCGCAGGUGGUUUCUUAAGUCUGAUGUGAAAGCCCACGGCUCUACCGUGGAGGGUCAUUGGAAACUGGGAGACUUGAGUGCAGAAGAGGAAAGUGGAAUUCCAUGUGUAGCGGUGAAAUGCGUAGAGAUAUGGAGGAACACCAGUGGCGAAGGCGACUUUCUGGUCUGUAACUGACACUGAGGCGCGAAAGCGUGGGGAGCAAACAGGAUUAGAUACCCUGGUAGUCCACGCCGUAAACGAUGAGUGCUAUGUGUUAGAGGGUUUCCGCCCUUUAGUGCUGA